rnacentral:rRNA from 1 species
UAUGAUCCAGAGUACCACGGGACACGUGAAACCCUGUGGGAAGCAGGAGGGACCACCCUCCAAGGCUAAAUACUACCUAGUGACCGAUAGCGUAUAGUACCGUGAGGGAAAGGUGAAAAGAACCCCGGGAGGGGAGUGAAAUAGAACCUGAAACCCUGCACUUACAAGCUGUGGAAGCACAUUUCUUGUGUGACCGCGUACUUUUUGUAGAACGGGCCAACGAGUUACGUUAAGUAGCAAGGUUAAGCACUUAAGGUGCGGAGCCGUAGCGAAAGCGAGUUUUAAC